rnacentral:rRNA from 1 species
CUUUAUUUUAAAUUUUUUUUUUAUUUAAGUAGUGUAAAUAUAAUUUGUUAUAUUAUAUAGUAUUUGAAACUUAAAAAGCUUNGCGUNGCUAUAUAUCCAUUUAGGGGAGCUUGUUUAUUAAUUUGAUAAUCCUCAAUUAACUCUUACUUUUUUUUGAAUAUUUAACAGUUUGUAUAUUGCUGUCGUCAGUUUAUUUCGUAAGAAUUUUUAAAAAACUUAAGAGUAAAUUUGCUAGUAUGUCAAGUCAAAAAUGCAGCUAAUAAGGAAGGUAAAAUAUAAUGAGCUACGAUUUAUAAUUUUUAAAUUGGAUUAAAUAUUGUAAUAUAUUUUUGAAAUUGGACUUAACAGUAAUGUAAAUAAUUAAUAUGUUUAUAUGAAUUAGGUUUUAUAGCGCGU